rnacentral:rRNA from 1 species
UACAUGGGGUGCAAAUGUUGCUCGGAAUUAUUGGGCGUAAAGCGCACGUAGGCGGUUUGUUAAGUCGGAUGUGAAAUCCCUCGGCUCAACUGAGGAAGUGCAUCCGAAACUGGCAAGCUUGAGUACGAAAGAGGGUCGCGGAAUUCCCGGUGUAGAGGUGAAAUUCGUAGAUAUCGGGAGGAACACCGGUGGCGAAGGCGGCGACCUGGGUCGAUACUGACGCUGAGGUGCGAAAGCGUGGGGAGCAAACAGG